CACACCCAGCAUAAAACCUGUUGGUCAGGUGUGAUGCAUGCAAAUCAAAACUCAGCACCAGGAACAGUAACUUCACUCUAAAAACCAACAGACAGCAGCAGCCUACGAGUUUAAUACCAGAGAGAAUGAAAGCUCAGAUUCUUCUCCUGCUCCUCGUUCUUGUGGUCGGGGUUCAAGCGAUACCCAUUACAUUUAAUGGGGAUUCAAAAGUUAUCCCAGAAGAUGAAGCCUUACAAGAAAUACAUAAAGGUGUCGUGAACAACGGGAGCCCAGUUACACUGGAAACAUUUAGAAAAUCUGAAAGAUAGAUAUGAGUGAAGAAAGAGAAGAAAGAGUUUAACAAAUGUCUUUUGAAUUUGACCUAUACUGUGUCAGCCAAAGCAUGUUCAAUAAAUCAAGAUAUAAUCAAACACAUGGUCCAGUGUGUGUGAUGCGAUAAAACAGAGACAUGCAGAGAAAGUGGCACCAAAAAGAACAGCAAUAUCAAAACAGAAUCAAAAUUAAGUCUAUAUUGACUUAAUUAGACACACCUGAAGCUACUUGCCAGCAAAUCCUACCAGAAGAGAGCACCAGCGCUGGCACAUUCUAUACACACUAUAUGAUUUAUUGUACAAAAUAGCUGCGAAUAAAACUUUUACCAUGA